rnacentral:rRNA from 1 species
GUACACGCUGUGACUAGCAUAUCAAUAAGCGGAGGAAAAGAAACUAACAAGGAUUCCCCUAGUAACGGCGAGUGAAGCGGGAAGAGCUCAAAUUUGAAAUCUUAAAGGGUUUCCCUUUACGAAUUGUAGUUUAAAGAAGUGUUUUCUGUUGAGGUUUUGGUAAAAGUUCUUUGGAAUAGGACAUCAUAGAGGGUGAGAAUCCCGUAUUUGACCUUUACUUUCAACUUUGUGAUACACUUUCAAAGAGUCGGAUUGUUUGGGAAUGCAGUCCAAAAUGGGUGGUAAAUUUCAUCUAAAGCUAAAUAUUGGCGAGAGACCGAUAGCGAACAAGUACCGUGAGGGAAAGAUGAAAAGAACUUUGAAAAGAGAGUUAAACAGUACGUGAAAUUGUCAAAAGGGAAGCGUUUGACACCAGUGUUGUCUUUCUGAAAAUCAAUUAAAGAACUGUUUAUGCUAAGCUGUUUAGACUUUAUCAGCUAUCUGUUUAGUUUUGAGCUUUUCUUUAAUGCACUUUUCAGUUAACAAGUCAACAUCAAUUUCUUUUGCUGUAAAAAAGGCUUGAGGAAGGUGGCUUGAGAUUCGUCUUAAGUGUUUAUAGCCUCUUGCCUAUGCAGUCGGAGAGAUUGAGGUCUGCAGCGUAGAUCCUUCGGGGCUAAAUGCAUUUGUGCUAAGUUAUAGCAUUUUAUAGACAACUUGUUGACUAUGAUUUGUCUUGUAGCUUACUCGCUUAUGUUAUUUUACCUACGCUUAGGAUGUUGACGCAUGAGAUAUACGC